GUAUCUUGACCUCGCAUCCUCUCAGCCUACUUUUUACUCCAGCGAUGGUUGCAGCAACUAGCCGUAAAUAGCCAGGUGUAAAUAGCCAGCACUUUGCCUUGCCUAUAUCAUGCACAUUUUUUUCUUUUCUCCAGUGCUUUUUAUGAAGUGUCUAUAAGAACCACCCAAAAUGUGUGACCUGAAAGUGUGAGGGAGUUAAGAACCACAGGGGGCAACCUUUGAGCAACAGGAGCCUAAUGACAGUAGUGCCACGUUCUUAUUGAGGAUCAUAUUCCAAUUUGUAUUUAUGCAUAUAAGUGGCUGUCUCAUGCUUUGCUUUCUGGAGGUAGUGCUGGUCGGUGGGGACUCAGGGUCACAAUGGAAGAAUUCCAUCUGUGUGGCAUGCAGCUUAUUACGUAGUAAAGGAUGACAUCUAAGGAUGCACUAAAUUCUGCCUUCUCAUUUCCCUACUUUGAGAAGAAAGAAACUGAAUGAUUGGAAAGACUGUGCUAUGCUUUCCUUUUGCAGUCCCACCUAGCAGACAAACAACCCUUGUUUCUUCUAGGCCAGUUUAUCAAACAUUUUUCACUUUAAAAAAUAGACUUAAGCAAAGAACAAGGCUAAAGCAUAGUUCAUGGGAGAAAAAAAAAAGUCUUCAAGUAAAGGGAAGUCAUGACCACUUAGUGUAAAAUACUGUUUACAGAAUCAUAAAAUAGAAAGAUGC